GCUGUAAAUAUACUAUACUUGAUUCAAUAGCAAGUCUAUUACUCAACUGUCAAUAUCUAGUUUGAUAUUCAUUUUUGACUUCCACAUAAAAUAGAGUGCUAGAUCUUCUGCAUAUUUAUUGAGAAUUGAAAGCUUUUCUUUCAGAGAUUUGUUAUAAGAUGUGAGUGUAGAAGGAAUAGUGAAUACAGAGAUGCUCAUCUCUAUAAAUUGAUAUUGCAACUCAGUCAUUUGCAGAGUUUGCUGUUAAAGAAUACUUUGUAGAUCUAGAUUAUUAUCUGCUAUAUUUGAAUGCAGUGGGUGCUCAUAGAUGUGUUCAUAAUUCAUCUUGAAAUCUAAGAAUAUAUAAACUAAAAAAAAGGA
rnacentral:sRNA from 1 species